rnacentral:rRNA from 1 species
UACGAGGGGGCGAGCGUUGGUUCGGAAUUAUUGGGCGUAAAGGCGCGUAGGCGGUGCGGUAAGUCACCUGUGAAACCCCCGGGCUCAACUCGGGGACCUGCCAGGGCGAAACCUGCCGUGACUGGAGUGCUGGAAGAGGUGAGUGGAAUUCCCGGUGUAGCGGUGAAAUGCGUAGAUAUCGGGAGAACACCUGUGGCGAAAGCGGCUCACUGGACCGCAACUGACGCUGAGGCGCGAAAGCUAGGGGA